AAUAGAUAAGAAGAAGUCAUGAGUUCAAACCCUAGUAAGAACAAAUUUGUUCUAGAGGAGCUUUAUGUAGAUGGUAGCCCUCUAAUCGAACAACAGUGCAACUCGGAGAGUGGUAAGGACUGGCAAAAAGUAGUUCAUGUGCCCUCCCUUUAUAUGGGUGGCCAAUGGAUCUCCACGGGUAUGGGCGAGAUUUUUUCAACUCAAAAUCUUCAAGGAAGUCCUCUACCAAGUGCUUCAGCUACCCAAUCAUCCAUCCAAGCUUCCACCACCAUCUAAGGUCCUAAACAACUGCAACUUGUUUGAUAAUCUGCUGCUGUCUGCUGGGGAUAUGUUCUGAUGUAGAGAUGUUCGUGCUUUCUUGGUAAUGUUCGGACUUCUGAUGUUCAAGAUUCAAAUUGCCGUGGCAGAUCGUUUAUGAUAUUAUUCCUGGUUGCGAAUGAUAAGUUUCUGGUGGUGAUUCUGGUUUAAUUUGGGUACCCGUUUCCCGGUAGUACUAGCCAGACUUUGUUGGGGCUUUGAAUGGCAAGCUUUCUGUUGUUUUUUAUUUGGAUGUGAUGCUUGGUCCAUAUAUAAUUUAGUAUGGUGCACGCUGCAAACAUAUUAUCCCAUUUUGGUGUCAACAGAUUUGCUCAAACAUGGUAUCAGUGCGUAUUGCAAAGUCUCUUGAAUCUAUGGUUUUUAAUGCUUAGUUGAGAAAUUUCUUCUGGUGUAGCGAUACAAGAUCAAAACAUGAGAAUUUAACGAGAGCUGGAAAGGAUUAUUGCAAG